AAAUAAAACACUUAAAAUAUCAUUAUGGUUUAAUAAAACAUAUGAAAAGAAUUUAUGGGUAAGUUUUUAUUUAUAAAAAAUAUAUUUAACAAUAUGGAAAAUCUUUUACCAUUACACCACCGACUUAAUUCACAAUCCAUCGAUAAGUUUUUUAUCUUUCUUUCUUUUUUCUUUUUUUUUUCUUUUGUCUAUAUUUAGUGCGCAAAUUUGGGGAGGGGGCGGCCUCAACCUUGAAUCCCCACACAGGUUCUUGCUUUCCCUUUCCCAACAGGGUUUACUUUGAGCUCAAACCCUAUAGUUCUUUGCUUGUUUUAUGGCAAUGGAAGAGGGUUUUGUUUGAGCUAAACAUCCUCUCAUCUUUGCCCAAACUUUCUUCUUUGCUUGUUUUGUGCCAAAUCAAAGGAACCCAGUUUUUUCUUUUGCCACUCAGAUCUUCACAAGUAUACGCGCUUUGCCUGUGCCUGUAAAUAUGAGCUUGGCCUGUGCAAAGGGAUUGAAGAAGAUGAUGAGAUGAUGAUCAUCGUCUAAAAGCAUUGCACUUCCCAUGCAUUUCCUCAUUCGCGGCAUGAUACCAUAACAAUAUGCGCACGCACACAUCAUCAUCAUGGCACACAUAUAUGUAUAUGCCUGGCUCCCUGUAUGCCAUUUGCAGAACCCAUCGAACAUCGAUGGCCUCCGUGGAUGGCGUAUGAGGAGCCAAGCAUAUAUUCCAUGUAUGUAUAUACUACAUAUUCUCCAUCAAUAUUCUUCCUUUGCAGGAUUUUUCUUUCUUUUCCCGGCUCAACACCACCUAUUUAAUUUUCCAGGUUUUUUUUACCUCUACCAUAUAGGAGAAUCUCAAGAAAUUUUUCAAAGAAUUUGCCCUAUCCAUGUUGUAAAUGGAAGUAAGAAAUGAGAUUUAUAGCCACUUGAUCAAA